AUGGUUGGACUUUGGUUGCU
rnacentral:piRNA from 1 species